AUCCAGACUCCUACGGGAGGCAGCAGUGGGGAAUAUUGCACAAUGGGGGAAACCCUGAUGCAGCAACGCCGCGUGAGUGAAGAAGUAUUUCGGUAUGUAAAGCUCUAUCAGCAGGGAAGAAAAUGACGGUACCUGAGUAAGAAGCCCCGGCUAACUACGUGCCAGCAGCCGCGGUAAUACGUAGGGGGCAAGCGUUAUCCGGAUUUACUGGGUGUAAAGGGAGCGUAGACGGCGAGGUAAGCCUGAAGUGGAAGCCCGCGGCCCAACCGCGGAACUGCUUUGGGAACUGUUUUGCUGGAGUAUGGGAGGGGUAAGCGGAAUUCCUGGUGCAGCGGUGAAAUGCGUAGAUAUCAGGAGGAACACCGGUGGCGAAGGCGGCUUACUGGACCAUAACUGACGUUGAGGCUCGAAAGCGUGGGGAGCAAACAGGAUUAGAUACCCCCGUAC
rnacentral:rRNA from 1 species